rnacentral:rRNA from 1 species
GACGAACGCUGGCGGCGUGCUUAACACAUGCAAGUCGAACGAAGAGCGAUGGAAGCUUGCUUCUAUCAAUCUUAGUGGCGAACGGGUGAGUAACGCGUAAUCAACCUGCCCUUCAGAGGGGGACAACAGUUGGAAACGACUGCUAAUACCGCAUACGAUCUGACCUCGGCAUCGAGGAUAGAUGAAAGGUGGCCUCUACAUGUAAGCUAUCACUGAAGGAGGGGAUUGCGUCUGAUUAGCUAGUUGGAGGGGUAACGGCCCACCAAGGCGAUGAUCAGUAGCCGGUCUGAGAGGAUGAACGGCCACAUAGGGACUGAGAAACGGCCCAGACUCCUACGGGAGGCAGCAGUGGGGAAUCUUCCGAAAUGGACGAAAGUCUGACGGAGCAACACCGCGUGAGUGAUGACGGCCUUCGGGUUGUAAAGCUCUGUUAAUCGGGACGAAAGGCCUUUUUGCGAAUAGUGAGAAGGAUUGACGGUACCGGAAUAGAAAGCCACGGCUAACUACGUG